UCCAGUUAAGAUAAUUGGAGUAGAUUUCUGCUAACAAAUGACUUUUAAUCUAGGCAACAAAAGUGGUUCUUUAUUCAAGUUGAGCAUCGGAAUGACCUAAAGAGGUUUGUAAAAACACCACCACUCUUCCUGUCCUGCCUCCAGGAAUCAGACACAGAUGUCUUGGGAUAUAGCCAUGACAAGGUGAAAUCUUCAGGAGCUAUGAUACACAGAAUGGCAACUGUUAUUCCCUGUGACUUGAAAACUUCCAACCCGGAGACAAUCACACCAUCACCUGAAUCUACUCAGAAUAACAGAUGAUGAGCUGCCUCUUCCUAGGUGUGCCGAGUGUUGGGAGUUACUCCAGACAGAAGUGCAUCCAGAGCAGAGCAGCCAGUGCCCCCUCGUCUCAGCUCUGAAGACAUGGCUGGAGCCGCUGGAAACUUCCAUCUGUUGCUGCAGAAUCUCAGUGAGGAGGAACCUACAGUACAACCUCUCACCUAGUUUGAGACUCCAAUCUGCUUGAAAACGCAUUUCUUUCGUCUACCUGGAGUGUCUUAGGCCAUUUUCUCUUAGUACACUCAAUGGCAGCAGAAGACAGCUGGCCAUCUUCUUCUUUCUAAGAACUCUUUCUGCACCUACAUUAUCAUUUGGUUUCUUUCCAUGAAUAGCCCACUUUCAUAGCUCUUCAGAGACCCGAAUCUUCCAUGCUUUUCAUCACUUCAGUUGCUUUCCACAUCCUCUGGAAUCCCAGAAGCCCAAGCCGGGGAACGAACAAGAACUUGGGUAGGCAGCACCCUGCUAACACUGAAAUGGUGGCCCUCUUUUCAGGCUAGUCUUCUAUGAACACAGCCUAACAUGAAGUUCGAUUUCAAAGUGUUGUUUUUAAAAGGUGCAAUUGAUCCUUUGCUUCAAGUUUCGGUUAUAAAAACAUUUUUAACAUUAGCUGAUUUAAAAUUGAAAAGUAUCCAACUUCUUUCGAAUGGUUUGAAGAAAGUCAGCUCUGGACACCCAGGGUUGUACUUCCAGUUGGUUCUCUGUAUCAGCUGGUUCUACAUCAUGGAUUUGGCUAACUGUGCCCUAAACAUACUGGGGGAAAUACAUCUGUACUGAACGCA